CUUGUACUCCCUCCGUCCGAAAAUACUUGUCAUUGAAAUGGAUGUAUCUAGAUGUAUUUUAGUUCUAGACACAUCCAUUUUGAUGGCAAGUAAUUCCGGACGGAGGGAGUACUUG
rnacentral:pre_miRNA from 1 species